GAGGAGCCGUGCGUAGGGUCAGAGAGGAGCCGUGCGUGGGCUAGCUUUGUUACCCGGAGAGUAGCCACAGUUUUAGCUCACAGUGAUGUCAACUUGAAGCUUCUCUCCACAAGCAGCUGUGACCUCAGCUGCCGUGCAGUCAGCUUCCCCGGCCUCCCUCCCCAGCCAACCUGGUCUCCCAGGCACAAGGCUGGACGCUGGCUUCAGAGUGGCUGCAAGGGCACGGCCCCCAGGCCUAGGGCUGAUCAGCGUGAACAGUACCCAGCACACUUGCUUCAAAAAGUAAGAAGAAAUAGAACACAAGCUGCUUGUUUUCAUGACUAUAGCACAAACUAUAAAACAAAACAUCUUCCUCCAGAACACGGCAAGCUGGAUGGAUAGUGAUCUGGACAAAAAUUUGCUGUAGGUUUUGUAACUGGGGUUCAGUGAGUACCAGGCUCCCCAGAGCAUACAUGUGGAGACAGUUAAGUUGAUCCCAUUUUCCAAGAUUCAGAGGAGAUGUAUUUAUAUUAGGAAUAUAAACUUGCUAUUAAUGCAACUUCAGAAUGUCCAGGUCAUCCGUUGGGAAAAAAAAAAGAGUAAGUCUAGGGCUGGUUCGUGCUGUUGCUACAUGGAGGGAAUCCACAUCCAAGCCUGCCGCUCACAUGCUGGGACACAUUGCCUCAGCCUCCGUCUCCGGGAGUCCCACGCUUUCUCUCCUGGGUUGUCCCACUAUUCCUUUUCAAGUCCUCAUGUUAGUGACAGUUCAAUUUUCUCUUCACCUUCAAAAUUGCAGAGAACCUAAUUUCUA
rnacentral:lncRNA from 1 species